GAUGAACGCUGGCGGCGUGCCUAAUACAUGCAAGUCGAGCGAACAGAUAAGGAGCUUGCUCCUUUGACGUUAGCGGCGGACGGGUGAGUAACACGUGGGUAACCUACCUAUAAGACUGGGAUAACUUCGGGAAACCGGAGCCAAUACCGGAUAAUAUUUCGAACCGCAUGGUUCGAUAGUGGAAGAUGGUUUUGCUAUCACUUAUAGAUGGACCCGCGCCGUAUUAGCUAGUUGGUAAGGUAACGGCUUACCAAGGCGACGAUACGUAGCCGACCUGAGAGGGCGAUCGGCCACACUGGAACUGAGACACGGUCCAGACUCCUACGGGAGGCAGCAGUAGGGAAUCUUCCGCAAUGGGCGAAAGCCUGACGGAGCAACGCCGCGUGAGUGAUGAAGGUCUUCGGAUCGUAAAACUCUGUUAUUAGGGAAGAACAUACGUGUAAGUAACUGUGCACGUCUUGACGGUACCUAAUCAGAAAGCCACGGCUAACUACGUG
rnacentral:rRNA from 1 species